rnacentral:lncRNA from 1 species
GAUACAAGAUUGACUUAUGACAUUGUGGAUUACAAUUCAAGGCUAGCGUAAAGGCUUGACGAUAAGUGCAAGAAGGCAUUCAACGAAAAGCUGCGUUAGCAAGAAAGGGAGUAGUGAAGGCGCUUUCAUUUCCCAUGACGGAUUGCUUGUAUUCUUCAGAAGCACUCAUGUUUAUGCAGCAUCGAUCGAUUCGAUACAAAUUCUUUCGCUCUUCUUUCUCCAUCAAUUGGGGAUGCAAGUUCAGCAAUCGGAGGAGAAUUUGAUCAAGC